UACAGAGGGGGCAAGCGUUGUUCGGAAUUACUGGGCGUAAAGGGCGCGUAGGCGGCCUUCUAAGUCGAACGUGAAAUCCCCGGGCUCAACCCGGGAACUGCGUCCGAUACUGGAAGGCUUGAAUCCGGGAGAGGGAUGCGGAAUUCCAGGUGUAGCGGUGAAAUGCGUAGAUAUCUGGAGGAACACCGGUGGCGAAGGCGGCAUCCUGGACCGGCAUUGACGCUGAGGCGCGAAAGCGUGGGGGAGCGAACAGG
rnacentral:rRNA from 1 species